UACGGGGGGGGCAAGCGUUGUUCGGAAUUACUGGGCGUAAAGGGCGCGUAGGCGGCCUUCUAAGUCGGACGUGAAAUCCCUCGGCUUAACCGAGGAACUGCGUCCGAUACUGAAAGGCUUGAAUCCGGGAGAGGGAUGUGGAAUUCCAGGUGUAGCGGUGAAAUGCGUAGAUAUCGAGAGGAACACCUGCGGCGAAGGCGGGUUGCUGGGCUGACACUGACGCUGAUGCGCGAAAGCUAGGGGAGCGAACGGG
rnacentral:rRNA from 1 species